rnacentral:rRNA from 1 species
UGGGGAAUUUUGGACAAUGGGCGAAAGCCUGAUCCAGCAAUGCCGCGUGUGUGAAGAAGGCCUUCGGGUUGUAAAGCACUUUUGUCCGGAAAGAAAUCCUUGGCUCUAAUACAGUCGGGGGAUGACGGUACCGGAAGAAUAAGCACCGGCUAACUACGUGCCAGCAGCCGCGGUAAUACGUAGGGUGCAAGCGUUAAUCGGAAUUACUGGGCGUAAAGCGUGCGCAGGCGGUUUGCUAAGACCGAUGUGAAAUCCCCGGGCUCAACCUGGGAACUGCAUUGGUGACUGGCAGGCUAGAGUAUGGCAGAGGGGGGUAGAAUUCCACGUGUAGCAGUGAAAUGCGUAGAGAUGUGGAGGAAUACCGAUGGCGAAGGCAGCCCCCGGGCCAAUACUGACGCUCAUGCACGAAAGCGUGGGGAGCAAACAGGAUUAGAUACCCUGGUAGUCCACGCCCUAAACGAUGUCAACUAGUUGUUGGGGAUUCAUUUCCUUAGUAACGUAGCUAACGCGUGAAGUUGACCGCCUGGGGAAUACGGUCGCAAGAUUAAAACUCAAAUGAAUUGACGGGGUCAUAGCUGUUUCCU